GUGAGGAACCUGGCUCCCUGCUGAGCCAUUUAGUUAAAUGUCUAAACUUUUCAAGUGGACACAACAUAUCAACCUUUACAAGAGAGCCGGCAAGUUGGGGUCUACCGGAGAAUCCUGAAGCACAGGGCUGCGCUGGGUCCAGAUCUUCUCCUCUCUGUGAGCUUUGCUCUGCAAGCUUGGGACAGGCCCAGCCUGAGAUGGGACAGGCCCAGCCUGAGAUUGUGUGGCCCGGCUGUGCCCAGCCCUGCCAUGUGUUUUAAGGCUUUGGCCCGUCUUUCCCUCUCCAUGCCAGGCACCCCUGGCACCUGCCCAUCCUGCAGAGCCUCCUGCUGGAGGGGACCUUCACCACGGACAGGUGGCACCGGCAUUACUCCCUGGAGACAAGGCUGGUCCUGAAUGGCCAGGAGGAGACGCUGCAGACUGUAGUCCUGGGCUGCCAGGCCAGGUACCCCUAUGUCUGCGCAGGCCUGACCCGCCCCUACGAUAGCAAGGCCGUCCCAAGGAGCCUGGAGGGAUGCUUGGUUGCAGGAACUCAGCGCUACGUGGGUGAGGCUGGGCCAGCUGUGGCACCCUAGAGCCGUCCCUUCUCGGCCUCACUUCCUGUCUGCCAGAGAAGGCUGUGAGUGGCCCCUGGAGGCUGGGCAGCAAGUCCUCAGAGCUUUGCAAGGACGCGGAACGGGAUGUCAGCCCACAGCACCUGCAGAUGCGGCUCCCAGGGGACAAAUUUGCAGUUUCCUCAACCGGAGAUUGCAGGACGGCUCCCUGGGCCAAAUCCAACGGGCAGAUGUGUUUUGUUUGGCCUGCUUAGGAUCGAAAUGUUUACUUAAAUUAAUUGUUAGCAUUGAAAAUUGGAAGACUGGGAGUAAAACCCAGGUUUCUGCUGUUUCUAAGAAAAAAAAUCAGAAGAUCUGACCACACUGGGCCUCAAAUCCAAGCUGACAAGGACAGGCUGAAACCGAGCAGGUCGCAUCAUGAUGUAAUGGAACUCGGAAGCGGGCCCUUUCUAAAACUGUGCUUAUUGACACACAUUUUUCCCCUCUGUUGGGCUCUUUCUUUCCUAUCAUACUGGCUCCAAAACAGAGUUCUGGAUUCCUUUGUCUGAAGAGUUCCAGCAGUGAUACAAUUCUGUCACAAGGUGGGUUUACAACUCGGUCAAUACAGCGAGGAAUAGCUGCCCCUGUGUCCCACUGUGUACUUGGCUAAAUAGUUUUGGAUGA